AAUAGAAGAGAAAAGGGUGCAGUAGCACCCGAUUCUCAUUUUUACAAAAAGACAAAAGGGUUGUCUUUCCUUUUUCUCUCCACCACCUUCGGCAGCCACUUCUGGCGACAUUUCGGUGAGUUUUCUGGCCGUUCAAGGGUUCUCCAAAGUUGAAACUACACCCACACUUCACUUGUCUAAAUAAAAGAGAAGAAUUAAGGUUCAAAUGUGAUUCUUGAACCAAUUCAAGAGUAGACUAUGUUUUCUUGAUUUGGUUAAACUAACAAGUUUCAAGGUUAGUGAAUUUACGUGGAGUAUACGUUGCUUUUGUGGUAAGGGCUUACAAUUCACUUUGAGGUGAGUCUGCUUCUAAUGUAGGUCCUCCAUAUCAAUAGGAAGGGGCGUGAUCAUGGUGGCAUGAGCGGAUGAUUGACUUAUAUUUUGGACUUUGGGUGUCUUUUAUUUGAUUGAAUACAUAUUUAUGUAUUAUGAGAUUGUUUCCUCUGGAUUUAUGUUGGAUAACCAAGAGGGUGCUCCGGAUUAUUGGGACUCCUGUGUUGGGUAGUAUGGAGGUGGUUGUGGCCUGUAGGCCCUGAGGGUCUUGAAUUGGAUUGUUUUUUGAUGUUGGAUUAUGUUUGGGUUAUGUUUGGAUAUUAUGCUAUUUUUGGAUUUUCUAUCUACGUGUAGGAUGACAUUCUCCAAUUUAUGGGGAGAUGUUGUCCGAUUUUCUUCUUGUUUUA